rnacentral:rRNA from 1 species
GACGAACGCUGGCGGCGUGCUUAACACAUGCAAGUCGAACGGAAAGGCCCUGCUUUUGUGGGGUGCUCGAGUGGCGAACGGGUGAGUAACACGUGAGUAACCUGCCCUUGACUUUGGGAUAACUUCAGGAAACUGGGGCUAAUACCGGCUAGGAGCUCCUGCUGCAUGGUGGGGGUUGGAAAGUUUCGGCGGUUGGGGAUGGACUCGCGGCUUAUCAGCUUGUUGGUGGGGUAGUGGCUUACCAAGGCUUUGACGGGUAGCCGGCCUGAGAGGGUGACCGGCCACAUUGGGACUGAGAUACGGCCCAGACUCCUACGGUAGGCAGCAGUGGGGAAUAUUGCACAAUGGGCGGAAGCCUGAUGCAGCAACGCCGCGUGCGGGAUGACGGCCUUCGUGUUGUAAACCGCUUUCGCCUGUGACGAAGCGUGAGUGACGGUAAUGGGUAAAGAAGCACCGGCUAACUACGUG